rnacentral:rRNA from 15 species
GCUGGUUCUCUGCGAAAUCUAUUUAGGUAGAGCGUCGUACGAAUACCCCGGGGGGUAGAGCACUGAAUGGGUAAUGGGGGCCUACAGCCUUACUGAUCCUAAUCAAACUCCGAAUACCCGGGAGUACUAUACGGCAGACACACUGCGGAUGCUAACGUCCGUAGUGGAGAGGGAAACAACCCUGACCUCCGGCUAAGGCCCCCAAUUCAUGGCUAAGUGGGAAAGCAGGUGGGACGACCAAAACAACCAGGAGGUUGGCUUAGAAGCAGCCAUCCUUUAAAGA